rnacentral:misc_RNA from 1 species
GAUGAAGAACGUAGCGAAAUGCGAUAAGUAAUGCGAAUUGCAGAAUUUCCGUGAGUCAUCGAAUCUCUGAACGCACAUUGCGCCCACUGGUAUUCCGGUGGGCAUGCCUGUUCGAGCGUCAUUAUCCUCCCUCAAACCCCGGGUUUGGUGUUGGACCCAAGUUGUGUGAACAACUGGUCUCAAAGACAAUGACGGCGUCCGUGGGACCCUCGGUGCAACGAGCUUUUAGGAGCACGCAUCGAGUUGCAAGGACCUUCCGGGCCGGUCUCCUUUACCAUUUUACAAGGUUGACCUCGGAUCAGGUAGGAAUACCCGCUGAACUUAAGCAUAUCAAUAAGCGGAGGA